UACAGAGGGUGCAAGCGUUGUUCGGAAUUAUUGGGCGUAAAGGGCGCGUAGGCGGUGCGGUAAGUCUGUAGUGAAAUCUCUGGGCUCAACUCAGAGUCUGCUAUAGAAACUGCCGUGCUUGAGUGUGGGAGAGGUGAGUGGAAUUCCCGGUGUAGCGUUGAAAUGCGUAGAUAUCGGGAGGAACACCUGUGGCGAAAGCGGCUCACUGGACCACAACUGACGCUGAGGCGCGAAAGCUAGGGGAGCAAACAGG
rnacentral:rRNA from 1 species